rnacentral:rRNA from 1 species
GAUGAAUGCUGGCGGCGUGCCUAACACAUGCAAGUCGAGCGGCAGCGCGAGGAGUUUACUCCUUGGCGGCGAGCGGCGGACGGCUGAGUAACGCGUGGGAACGUGCCCCAAAGUGAGGAAUAACUGCCCGAAAGGGUGGCUAAUACCGCAUAUGAUCUUCGGAUUAAAGUCUUCGGACGCUUUGGGAGCGGCCCGCGUCGGAUUAGGUUGUUGGUGAGGUAAUGGCUCACCAAGCCGACGAUCCGUAGCUGGUCUGAAAGGAUGAUCAGCCAGACUGGGACUGAGACACGGCCCAGACUCCUACGGGAGGCAGCAGUGAGGAAUCUUCCACAAUGGGCGAAAGCCUGAUGGAGCAACGUCGCGUGAAGGAUGAAGGCCCUCGGGUUGUAAACUUCUUUUAUAAGUGAAGAAUAUGACGGUAACUUAUGAAUAAGCACCGGCUAACUACGUGCCAGCCGCCGCAGUAA